rnacentral:rRNA from 1 species
GAUGACGCUGGCGGCAGGCCUAACACAUGCAAGUCGAGCGCGCGGCGGACGGGGGAGUAAUGUCUGGGAAACUGCCUGAUGGAGGGGGAUAACUACUGGAAACGGUAGCUAAUACAGCAUACCAUCAGAUGUGCCAAGAUGGGCUUAGCUAGGAGGUGGGGUAACGGCUCACCUAGGCGACGAUCCCUAGCUGGUCUGAGAGGAUGACCAGCCACACUGGAACUGAGACACGGUCCAGACUCCUACGGGAGUCAGCAGUGGGGAAUAUUGCACAAUGGGCGCAAGCCUGAGACAGCCAUGCCGGGUGUAUGAAGAAGGCCUUCGGGUUGUAAAGUACUUUCAGCGGUGAGGCGUUACCCGCAGAAGAAGCACCGGCUAACUCCGUGCCAGCAGCCGCGGUAAUAC